rnacentral:rRNA from 1 species
UACGUAGGGUCCGAGCGUUGUCCGGAAUUAUUGGGCGUAAAGGGCUCGUAGGCGGUCUGUUGCGUCGGGAGUGAAAACUUAACAGCUUAACUGUGAGCGUGCUUUCGAUACGGGCAGACUUGAGGCAUUCAGGGGAGAACGGAAUUCCUGGUGUAGCGGUGAAAUGCGUAGAUAUCUGGAGGAACACCGGUGGCGAAGGCGGCAUUCUGGACUACAACUGACACUGAGGAACGAAAGCCAAGGGGAGCAAAACGGG